GAUGAACGCUGGCGGCGUGCCUAAUACAUGCAAGUCGAGCGAACAGACGAGGAGCUUGCUCCUUUGACGUUAGCGGCGGACGGGUGAGUAACACGUAGGUAACCUACCUAUAAGACUGGGAUAACUUCGGGAAACCGGAGCUAAUACCGGAUAAUAUUUCGAACCGCAUGGUUCGAUAGUGAAAGAUGGCUUUGCUAUCACUUAUAGAUGGACCUGCGCCGUAUUAGCUAGUUGGUAAGGUAACGGCUUACCAAGGCAACGAUACGUAGCCGACCUGAGAGGGUGAUCGGCCACACUAGAACUGAGACACGGUCCAGACUCCUACGGGAGGCAGCAGUAGGGAAUCUUCCGCAAUGGGCGAAAGCCUGACGGAGCAACGCCGCGUGAGUGAUGAAGGUCUUCGGAUCGUAAAACUCUGUUAUUAGGGAAGAACAAACGUGUAAGUAACUGUGCACGUCUUGACGGUACCUAAGCAGAAAGCCACGGCUAACUACGU
rnacentral:rRNA from 1 species